UACGAAGGGGGCUAGCGUUGCUCGGAAUCACUGGGCGUAAAGGGUGCGUAGGCGGGUCUUUAAGUCAGGGGUGAAAUCCUGGAGCUCAACUCCAGAACUGCCUUUGAUACUGAAGAUCUUGAGUCCGGGAGAGGUGAGUGGAACUGCGAGUGUAGGGGUGAAAUUCGUAGAUAUUCGCAAGAACACCAGUGGCGAAGGCGGCUCACUGGCCCGGUACUGACGCUGAGGCACGAAAGCGUGGGGAGCAAACAGG
rnacentral:rRNA from 1 species